rnacentral:lncRNA from 1 species
AUGACUUAACUGACUCAUUUUGAAAAGAGUUUGAAAAUUGGUUUGAAUGCACUUCGGCAAAAUAUUUUUAUAACUUGGGACAAUUAUUCAAAAAUAAUGUUGUAUACAGUUUUACUCAUUUGUCGUCCAUUAGGGCCGGUUUGUAGGGCCGGUCUUAAGUUAACUGACACACCACAGGUAUAAUGGCCACAAGGUUGAUUCCUUUACGUGGGAUACCAGUUUUUACAUAAUGCAUCUGUCAGGUGUACGCCUACACCCCGUGCUUAGGUCGUGGCCAUUUCAUGAAUGAUGCCAAGGAUAUCCGGGACAUGGUCAUUUAACCCCCAAAAGCCAUACACCAAAUAAUACAUAUUAAACGGGUCAUGCAAAUACAUUAAUCACAAUUCGAUUUAAAUGACUACAUACACCCGACCAAGCGGCACUUUUAUAGUACCGUAUCCCAAGCCCGUAU